AGAAUCAACGCUGGCGGCGUGCCUAACACAUGCAAGUCGAACGAGAAAGUGGAGCAAUCCAUGAGUAAAGUGGCGCACGGGUGAGUAACACGUGACUAACCUACCUUUUAGUGGGGGGAUAACCUAGGGAAACCUGGGCUAAUACCGCAUAAUACCUACGGGUCAAAGCAGCAAUGCGCUGGAAGAGGGGGUCGCGGCCGAUUAGCUAGUUGGCGGGGUAAUGGCCCACCAAGGCAGUGAUCGGUAUCCGGCCUGAGAGGGCGCACGGACACACUGGAACUGAAACACGGUCCAGACUCCUACGGGAGGCAGCAGUGGGAAUUUUGCGCAAUGGGGGAAACCCUGACGCAGCAACGCCGCGUGGAGGAUGAAGACCCUUGGGUCGUAAACUCCUUUCGAUCGGGACGAUAAUGACGGUACCGGAAGAAGAAGCCCCGGCUAACUUCGUGCCAGCAGCCGC
rnacentral:rRNA from 1 species